AACGCGAAGAACCUUACCAAGUCUUGACAUCCCAAUGACCGGAACUUAACCGUUCCUUCCCUACGGGGCAUUGGAGACAGGUGGUGCAUGGUUGUCGUCAGCUCGUGUCGUGAGAUGUUGGGUUAAGUCCCGCAACGAGCGCAACCCUUAUCCUUAGUAGCCAGCAGUUCGGCUGGGCACUCUAGGGAGACUGCCAGGGAUAACCUGGAGGAAGGUGGGGAUGACGUCAAAUCAUCAUGCCCCUUAUGAUUUGGGCUACACACGUGCUACAAUGGCGUAAACAAAGGGAAGCGACCCCGCGAGGGCAAGCAAACCUCAAAAAUAACGUCUCAGUUCGGAUUGCAGGCUGCAACUCGCCUGCAUGAAGCUGGAGUCGCUAGUAAUCGCGAAUCAGAAUGUCGCGGUGAAUACGUUCCCGGGUCUUGUACACACCG
rnacentral:rRNA from 1 species